rnacentral:rRNA from 1 species
UACGAAGGGGGCUAGCGUUGUUCGGAAUUACUGGGCGUAAAGCGCACGUAGGCGGACUCUUAAGUCAGGGGUGAAAUCCUGGAGCUCAACUCCAGAACUGCCUUUGAUACUGGGAGUCUUGAGUUCGGGAGAGGUGAGUGGAACUGCGAGUGUAGAGGUGAAAUUCGUAGAUAUUCGCAAGAACACCAGUGGCGAAGGCGGCUUCCUGGACCGAUACUGACGCUGAGGCGCGAAAGCUAGGGGAGCAAACGGG